UCUGGUGUUUAUGACUUCAAGGGCUACACCCGUUCCCAUCCCGAACACGAUGGUUAAGCCUUGAAGUGCUGAUGAUACUGCAUGGGAGACUGUGUGGGAAAGUAAGUUAAUGCCAGUU
rnacentral:rRNA from 1 species